rnacentral:rRNA from 1 species
UACGGGGGGAGCAAGCGUUGUCCGGAUUUACUGGGCGUAAAGAGCGCGCAGGCGGCUGGUCAAGUCCGAUGUGAAAGCUCCCGGCUUAACUGGGAAAUUGCAUCGGAAACUGAUCGGCUGGAAGGUGGGAGAGGGUAGCGGAAUUCCCGGUGUAGUGGUGAAAUGCGCAGAUAUCAGGAGGAACACCGGUGGCGAAGGCGGGUCUCUGGGCCGAUACUGACGCUGAGGAGCGAAAGCGUGGGGAGCGAACAGG